AUGGAGAAAAAGGUCUCAGAAGAUGUCAACUUCUUCUAUUCAAUUCAAGUGGAUGAGGAUGAGUUGAUAACUAAUAUUUUUUGGGCCGACUCCAAAAUGGUUUCAGACUAUGCAAUGUUCGGCGAUGUUAUAUGCUUUGACACCACAUACAGAAAACUAGAUGAUGGACGUCCAUUUGGUUUGAUUGUCGGGGUGAAUAAUCAUAAGAAAACUAUUGUCUUUGGUGCUGCACUUCUAUAUGAUGAAACCGCUGCUAGUUUUGCUUGGCUUUUCAGAACUUUCCUAAAAGUUAUGUCAGGAAAACAUCCACGUACAAUUCUCACCGAUGAAGAUGCAGCAAUGGCGAAGGCAAUUCGUGAAGUCUUUCCCCACUCUCACCAUAGACUUUGUGUGUGGCAUAUGAAUCAAAAUGCUUGCAAGCACCUCGCCGGAGUUGUUGACGAAUAUAAGAAGUUCAAUGUUGAUUUUCAGCACUGUAUAUAUGAUAUAGAAGAGGAGGAUGAAUUUGUAGGUGCAUGGGAUAAAAUGAUUGACAACACUACCCAAAGAAGUGAAAGCAUGAACAAUGAACUGAAGAGAUACAUUAGUAUUAAAUAUGACAUGCUUACUUUCUUUAAGCAUUUUGAACGGCUAGUUUCGGAUAAAAGAUGUGAAGAGGUGAAGUAUGACUUUAAAGCAACACAGACUACUCCCAAGUUGAAGGCUGAAUCUAGCUAUAUGUUAAAACAAGCUGCAGCUACAUAUACUCCAGCAAUAUUCAAGAUGGUUCAAGAUCAAGUGCUUCGGACUCUGAACUAUGACACAAUGCUUUGUGAUGAAAGUGACACAAAGGUGAAGAUUUAUGUAGUAAAAUUUCAUGGCACACAACGUGAACAUGUUGUUAGAUUCAUUCCAAAAAAAGAAAAGGUUAGCUGCAGUUGCAAAAGGUUU
rnacentral:rRNA from 1 species